rnacentral:rRNA from 1 species
UUAAAGGAAUUGACGGGGCCCGCACAAGCGGAGGAACAUGUGGUUUAAUUCGAUGAUACGCGAGGAACCUUACCCGGGCUUGGAAUGCAUCUGACCGGCCUUGAAAGAGGUUUUCCCUUCGGGGCAGAUGUGUAGGUGCUGCAUGGUUGUCGUCAGCUCGUGCCGUGAGGUGUCGGCUUAAGUGCCAUAACGAGCGCAACCCUCAUCAUUAGUUACCAUCAGGUAAGGCUGGGGACUCUAAUGAGACUGCCAUCGUAAGAUGUGAGGAAGGUGGGGAUGACGUCAAAUCAGCACGGCCCUUACGUCCGGGGCGACACACGUGUUACAAUGGGUGGUACAAAGGGCAGCUACCUGGCGACAGGAUGCUAAUCUCCAAAACCACUCUCAGUUCGGAUCGGAGUCUGCAACUCGACUCCGUGAAGCUGGAUUCGCUAGUAAUCGCGCAUCAGCCACGGCGCGGUGAAUACGUUCCCGGGCCUU